UGAACCCAAUUUUAUAAAGAUUAAAUCUCAUUUAAUUAAGAAGUCAAGUGGGCAAGUGGGUAGAAAAGCACUCAAGUGUUUUGUGAUAUUUUGAAGAGUAUUGUGAGCUAUUCUAACCCCAAAACCGAUCUCCACACUCCCUCAUUCACUCUCAUCUGAUUUUUGAAGACUCUCUCAAGUGUUCUCUCCAUUUUCAACCCCAAGAACACCAAAGAAACUUGGAAGCUAAGUCUUGGUCUAGGAAGGGUUUUCCCUAAGGUAAAGUUUCAUUAAUCUAGACUUUUGUCAAGUUUUAAUCAUAGAGUUUCAAAUAGCUAAUUACCUAUGUUGUUGGGGGAAGUUGGUUAGGGUUUUUGAAAGGUUUUGGAGGAGCCAAAGCUAAUAGGAAGGUCAAAACCUUAAGCAAGAACACCAAAGAGUAUUGGCUAAGCGUAACUGGACUGAACGUUGGAGGGUGAAAACCUGCUGAGCGCUAAGGACUCCAAGUAAGAGCACGGGCAAGGCAGAGCAGUGAGCGCUGGAGUCUUCCUUGCAAAUGUACAUGUGGACCGACCUUUUGGGAAGCCUUUUUAUUUUUGGAAAUGCUGUGUAAUUUUCCUAAACUAGGCUCACUCUAAUCUUUAUAAAACAUGUUUGUAACUAAAUGUUAAGUAUGGCCAUACGACUUUUUUUAAAAGUUUUUUUUUCUAUGGGUUUUUGAGACAUUUUGUUAAAUGAAAACAUUUAU